AGCUCCAGUGUUAAAUGCAUUGUUGUCUGAGAAGUUAUUUGCAGUAUAUAUGACCACCAAGGGACAUUGUACCCAGAGUACAUAAGGAGCACUGCAUAUUAUUAAGAAAAAGACAACCUAAUAGAAAAAAGUGGACAGAGGCUACAUAUGAUAUCAUUCCAACUAUAUGACAUUUCUGGAAAAGGCAGAACUAUGGAGACAGUAUCAAGAAGCCCCGUAGAAGUUGGGGGUUUUGAACCACUCACUCUGCCUUUCCAAGAGUGAGCAGACCCUGAUGGUGGGGUGGGGGCAUAGGUAGAAUGUCCCCUUGCUUGUGGGCCUUAAUCUGUUUUAUUGUUAAUGCUGUGUAACCCAGAGGGAUGGUUGUGGAUGUGUUCAUAGGAGUUACAUGUGACAGCACCUAGCUCGGAAGGUCGCAUCCGGUUUAUCUGGCCAUCGUCCCCAGUGGACGACGAACUUGGCGAAGUUCGGUGAUGGCAGGACUUCUGCUUCUCAUGCUCCUAUCCUUAGUGCCUGCCACGUGGUCAGUGCUCAGUUGAAGGGGCUCGUAUAUUGCAUCUAAGCCCCGCUUCCUUAAUCCCUAUACGGAGUUCUUUGGAAAGCUAUGUUGAAGAGCUUGGUCACCUGCUUCCUCUCUCCCCUAAAUUAUCACUUUAUUUUUGUGGCCUCACUGAAGAACUAAUCACUUCAUAAUGCUUUGGGGGCAUUGAUAAUGUCUUCCUUCUUCAUCCCUGAUCCCCUAAGUGGUGUAUAGAAAACCAUGUUACACUUAGAAAGUAUUUAGAAAAUUUAUUUGUUCGAUGAUAAUAAUGCAAAAAAAGCCUUGGUUAAGGCACCAGGAUCUUGUACUGUUCUCUCGGUGUUUAAGAAAUUCUUAACCAAAGCUACUUUCAUUUGGACAUUGUGUCUUCCUCCCAUUUACCCUCCUAAAUUAUCCACAGAAGUACCAUAAUCCGUUUUAUAAGCAUGGCUCUCAGGAAUUUCAGAGGGACCACCGGUGUGGGUGUGGGAAUAUCGUGUGGGUUCGUAAGGUCCCUCCCUGUGACCUCCGGGCUGAGGGGAAUUAACUGUGGAGGGAGGAAGCUGGUGGUUGGCAGUCCCUUUCCCUCCAAGGGAAGGUGUAAGCCUUGCAAUUUCAUGUCCCCCAACUACUUGUGUCCUUAGUCAGCUGCACCACUGUCCUCGGGCCAAGUGCCAGCACCCCGGGGCCUGAAGUACCUAAACUGUCCUUAUGGAAAGCAGAAGAUAAACAAAACAGAAGCGAAAGUGGAUUCCGCUUUUGAGACUGUUCUCUUACAGGAAUGGCUUUGUGAUUCUCAGCAUUUAAAAAGAUACUGGUUCCAGUGUGCUUUAUUGACAUCAAUUACUGUAAGUCUGAUUCAUUUUCUGCCUAUUGAUUUCUGCCCAAGGUGAAAGUCGUGACAUUUAACAGAAAACAUAAGUGAUUUUUUAGAAAAAACAUAUACUACUAAGGACUGUAAAAAUAAGGUUUAGAAUCAGCGACACUUGAAAAAGCAGUUUUCAUACCUCUUUGUUAAUCGUUCUACUUAGCCUACAAAUAAUUUAAGAUUGUAGUAGCUUACUCUAGUGAACUCAGAAUGCUGUGUCCAAAUUAAUUUUAUCUGCAUCAAAGUUUUUUAGUAGUUAGAAGACCGUAUUGAUAUGCUUUCACCAAUCACAAAGUUUUCUUAAAGGUCAGAUCCUCCAUUUCUAAAUAAGUCCUAUUAUUGCAGCUGGAACAUAAUUUUUCAGUUCUGAAACUGCAUAAGACCUUAGGGAAUCAAAAAUAGCUAUUAACUACAAAUACAUAAA